AGCGAACGCUGGCGGCAGGCCUAACACAUGCAAGUCGAACGAACCUUUCGGGGUUAGUGGCGGACGGGUGUGUAACACGUGGGAACGUGCCUUUAGGUUCGGAAUAACUCAGGGAAACUUGUGCUAAUACCGAAUGUGCCCUUCGGGGGAAAGAUUAAUCGCCUUUAGAGCGGCCCGCGUCUGAUUAGCUAGUUGCUUGAGGUAAUGGCUCACCAAGGCGACGAUCAGUAGCUGGUCUGAGAGGAUGAUCAGCCACAUUGGGACUGAGACACAGCCCAAACUCCUACGGAAGGCAGCAGUGGGGAAUCUUGCGCAAUGGGCGAAAGCCUGACGAAGCCAUGCCGCGUGAAUGAUGAAGGUCUUAGGAUUGUAAAAUUCUUUCACCAGGGACGAUAAUGACGGUACCCGGAGAAGAAGCCCCGGCUAACUACGUG
rnacentral:rRNA from 1 species